rnacentral:rRNA from 1 species
GGCCAGGGAGCCGUGAAGCGAGCCACCUGGGAAGUACGGCCGCAAGGCUGAAACUUAAAGGAAUUGGCGGGGGAGCACAACAACGGGUGGAGCCUGCGGUUUAAUUGGACUCAACGCCGGACAACUCACCGGGGACGACAGCAAUAUGUAGGCCAGGCUGAAGACCUUGCCUGAAUCGCUGAGAGGAGGUGCAUGGCCGUCGCCAGUUCGUACUGUGAAGCAUCCUGUUAAGUCAGGCAACGAGCGAGACCCGUGCCCACUGUUACCAGCAUGUCCUCCGGGAUGAUGGGUACUCUGUGGGGACCA